rnacentral:rRNA from 1 species
AAGCUUUUGCGGUGUGGGAUGGGCCCGCGGCCUAUCAGCUUGUUGGUGGGGUGAUGGCCUACCAAGGCGACGACGGGUAGCCGGCCUGAGAGGGUGACCGGCCACACUGGGACUGAGAUACGGCCCAGACUCCUACGGGAGGCAGCAGUGGGGAAUAUUGCACAAUGGGCGCAAGCCUGAUGCAGCGACGCCGCGUGGGGGAUGACGGCCUUCGGGUUGUAAACCCCUUUCAGCACAGACGAAGCGCGAGUGACGGUAUGUGCAGAAGAAGGACCGGCCAACUACGUGCCAGCAGCCGCGGUAAUACGUAGGGUCCGAGCGUUGUCCGGAAUUACUGGGCGUAAAGAGCUCGUAGGUGGUUUGUCGCGUUGUUCGUGAAAACUCACAGCUCAACUGUGGGCGUGCGGGCGAUACGGGCAGACUAGAGUACUGCAGGGGAGACUGGAAUUCCUGGUGUAGCGGUGGAAUGCGCAGAUAUCAGGAGGAACACCGGUGGCGAAGGCGGGUCUCUGGGCAGUAACUGACGCUGAGGAGCGAAAGCGUGGGGAGCGAACAGGAUUAGAUACCCUGGUAGUCCACGCCGUAAACGGUGGGUACUAGGUGUGGGUUUCCUUCCUUGGGAUCCGUGCCGUAGCUAACGCAUUAAGUACCCCGCCUGGGGAGUACGGCCGCAAGGCUAAAACUCAAAGAAAUUGACGGGGGCCCGCACAAGCGGCGGAGCAUGUGGAUUAAUUCGAUGCAACGCGAAGAACCUUACCUGGGUUUGACAUGCACAGGACGUGCCUAGAGAUAGGUAUUCCCUUGUGGCCUGUGUGCAGGUGGUGCAUGGCUGUCGUCAGCUCGUGUCGUGAGAUGUUGGGUUAAGUCCCGCAACGAGCGCAACCCCUAUCUUAUGUUGCCAGCGCGUCAUGGCGGGGACUCGUAAGAGACUGCCGGGGUCAACUCGGAGGAAGGUGGGGAUGACGUCAAGUCAUCAUGCCCCUUAUGUCCAGGGCUUCACACAUGCUACAAUGGCCGGUACAAAGGGCUGCGAAUCCGCGAGGUGGAGCGAAUCCCUUGAAAGCCGGUCUCAGUUCGGAUUGGGGUCUGCAACUCGACCCCAUGAAGUCGGAGUCGCUAGUAAUCGCAGAUCAGCAACGCUGCGGUGAAUACG